rnacentral:rRNA from 1 species
AACGAACGCUGGCGGCAUGCCUAACACAUGCAAGUCGAACGAAGCCUUCGGGCUUAGUGGCGCACGGGUGCGUAACGCGUGGGAAUCUGCCCUUGGGUUCGGAAUAACAGUUAGAAAUGACUGCUAAUACCGAAUGAUGUCUUCGGACCAAAGAUUUAUCGCCCAAGGAUGAGCCCGCGUCGGAUUAGCUAGUUGGUGAGGUAAAGGCUCACCAAGGCGACGAUCCGUAGCUGGUCUGAGAGGAUGAUCAGCCACACUGGGACUGAGACACGGCCCAGACUCCUACGGGAGGCAGCAGUGGGGAAUAUUGGACAAUGGGCGAAAGCCUGAUCCAGCAAUGCCGCGUGAGUGAUGAAGGCCUUAGGGUUGUAAAGCUCUUUUACCCGGGAUGAUAAUGACAGUACCGGGAGAAUAAGCCCCGGCUAACUCCGUGCCAGCAGCC